GUGAAUAUGAUUUGGAUGUUUAUUGUAUGAUAAUUGAUGAAGUAUUGAUAUUCUUGAUGAAAAGAGAAAAUAAAUCCCGGUUGAAUGAAAGGAAAAUUCGAUGGAUCUUUGAAAAGGAAUUAACGGUAAAAAGGAUCUAGCCCGGACGGGUGAUCCUAUCCUGAUAUAGCCCUCCCAAAGAAUAUGUGGAAAAUGGAUUUAGCCCGG
rnacentral:lncRNA from 1 species